rnacentral:rRNA from 1 species
AUUGAACGCUGGCGGCAGGCCUAACACAUGCAAGUCGAGCGGUAACAGGGGUAGCUUGCUACCCGCUGACGAGCGGCGGACGGGUGAGUAAUGCAUAGGAAUUUACCCGAUAGUGGGGGAUAACCUGGGGAAACCCAGGCUAAUACCGCAUACGUCCUACGGGAGAAAGGGGGCUUCGGCUCCCGCUAUCGGAUGAGCCUAUGUCGGAUUAGCUGGUUGGUGAGGUAAUGGCUCACCAAGGCGACGAUCCGUAACUGGUCUGAGAGGAUGAUCAGCCACAUUCGGACUGAGACACGGCCCGAACUCCUACGGGAGGCAGCAGUGGGGAAUAUUGGACAAUGGGGGCAACCCUGAUC